CCUAAAAUAAAUACAGUAUACCUGGUAGCAAGAAAUACAAUGUACAUUAAAGCAGGGACAGAUAAGUAUUUAAAUACGUAGGUUUAUAUUCUUAAUCGGAUCCCUAUAUAACAACGUGGAUAUAAAGACAAACCAAGGAUUCAAAAAUAAAGUUAAGAUGUUGCGUUCAACUACCACUGUGCAACGGACCGUGACGAUCCCUAAACGAAAAGGUCAGUGGAGCAUGACUGUCCACGUGGGUGAUUUCAAACCGGAGGAUAUUGUGGUAAAGACGGUGAAUAAACAAGUGGAGGUACACGCCGAAAAGUGGGGAGGGGGGGCGAUGCAAGCCGAUUUCACUCAUAAAUGCCAGCUGCCCGCUUACGUAGAUGCUACUACUGUGUCGUCACAAUUAUAUCGGGAUGGAACACUUAUUCUACGCGCGUGCCCUGCACUGUGACGUCAUAAUUAUAUUAGAGAACUCCUUGCACAAAAGAUUUUGUCAAAAUUUAUAAAAUAUUUAAGGAUGUUUGUAAAUAAAUAUAACUAAGAACUGGAA